UGUUUUAUGCAGUGUAGUUCUAGCUGUGUUGGUCCCAGGAUAUUAGAGAGAAAAGGUGGGUGAGGUAAUAUCUUUUAUGAAAUGCGUGGUG